UACAUAGGAAGUGGGUAUAGAAAAGAGAU
rnacentral:piRNA from 1 species